rnacentral:rRNA from 1 species
GGAUUAGAUACCCUGGUAGUCCACGCCGUAAACGAUGUCUACUAGCCGUUGGGGAACUUGAUUCUUUAGUGGCGCAGCUAACGCACUAAGUAGACCGCCUGGGGAGUACGGCCGCAAGGUUAAAACUCAAAUGAAUUGACGGGGGCCCGCACAAGCGGUGGAGCAUGUGGUUUAAUUCGAUGCAACGCGAAGAACCUUACCAGGCCUUGACAUCCCCGGAAGUUGGCAGAGAUGCCUUCGUGCCUUCGGGAACCGGGUGACAGGUGCUGCAUGGCUGUCGUCAGCUCGUGUUG